UAUUGAGCCCAUUCGUAUAGUCCAGGCACCGUUCUAAGCAUUUCAUAUCAAUGUCUUUAAUCCUCACAACAAACCUAUGAGGUGGUAUCAUCAAUAUUGUGAAGAGAGCUGUACUGGAAAUGGAACAAAGGCUACAGGAACAGAAAGGAUGCAAUUCAUUCAGCUUGGGGAUAUGGGAAAUGGUGUCACAGAGACAAUCUUGCUCUAUUCCUUAUUUAUGUAUACCCCUACCUCCUGGAAAGGAAUCAGGACAGCUCACACUGGGAAAGAUUCAGAGCAUACAUACAAAAGCCUUGAGACUGGAAAGAUUAUUUGGAAGUUGGGCAGAAGAGCAGGUCACAAAUAGACUAAGAAAGAGAAGCCAUGUUAACAGGAGGAAUACCAGAUAAGACAGAGGGCUUCCAGAUUUAUUGGUGUGAUAAAUGUAAAAACACUGUCACAGAGUCUGGGGAAGAAAGUCUUUCAAGAAGAAAGGAAUGGUCAAUCACGCAAAAAUACUGCUGAGAGGGGCGAAGCAAGGAGAAGAAAGAAAAAAUAUAUGAAUGCUGCCACACACAUCCAUGGUUUGUCAAUGCCCAGCCAUCCUUGGUGUGCAUUCUUAGUGAGUUUCUACUCCAAUUCUUCCUGAGUGAUUACAUUUUCAUCACAUUUCUGAAGGUUUUGCCACUUCUGCCAUCACAAUUUGAAGCUCACACGAUGCUGGGACAGGGACAUCACUGAAUUUUUCUGCAGCAAAUUGAAGACCAAAUGGGAAUUUCUGCCUCAAUCAGCAUCCAUUGGGAAUCAACUUGAUGUGAGGCGUUAUGCUA